GAAGGAGAGGAAAUGAUUGACUAACUGAAACAAGAAGGGAUAUUAUCAUGUCCGCAAAAUGCAAAGUUGAUAAGUGCUUAGAAACCAAGGUAACUGAUAAGAAUUUGUUCUCCGUCUUCACCCUUUCACCCACGGAUCACCACAACUGUUCUCUAGACAAGACAAACACUGCUGAGCGUGAAACCCUAAAGCACUGCUUUCAGAGAUGAGGACAGAAAGUGAAACAGGUUUUGGUCAGCAGAGACUUCAGGAAUAUCUCCAAGGCCCGAGCUUAUGGAUGCAGUAUGGGAUUUCACAGCUCUACAACACUUUCAGCAUGUAUUUACAUACUUGCUUUGACAUAAUACAGUUACCAUUUAACACUGGCUAACAACAAAUAUCUACACCAUCACAGCAGAAAACAGUUCCUAUCACCUGGAGGGAUGUAUCUUAGUGCAAUAAACUGAACAGUUUAUUGUUGA